GGGAGGGGGGGCCAGCGUUGUUCGGAAUUAUUGGGCGUAAAGGGCGCGUAGGCGGGCCCGGCAAGUCAGUUGUGAAAUCCCUCGGGCUCAACCGAGGAACUGCGACUGAGACUGCCCGGGCUUGAGUCCCGGAGAGGGUAGCGGAAUUCCCAGUGUAGCGGUGAAAUGCGUAGAUAUUGGGAGGAACACCGGUGGCGAAGGCGGCUACCUGGACGGGUACUGACGCUGAGGCGCGAAAGCGUGGGGAGCAAACAGGAUUAGAUACCCUGGUAGUCCACGCUGUAAACGAUGGGCACUUGGUGUUGCGGGUAUCGACCCCUGCAGUGCCGAAGCUAACGCAUUAAGUGCCCCGCCUGGGGAGUACGGUCGCAAGGCUG
rnacentral:rRNA from 1 species